rnacentral:rRNA from 1 species
UACGUAGGGUGCGAGCGUUGUCCGGAAUUACUGGGCGUAAAGAGCUCGUAGGCGGCUUGUCGCGUUGUUCGUGAAAAUUUACCGCUCAACGGUGAACUUGCGGGCGAUACGGGCAGACUAGAGUACUGCAGGGGAGACUGGAAUUCCUGGUGUAGCGGUGGAAUGCGCAGAUAUCAGGAGGAACACCGGUGGCGAAGGCGGGUCUCUGGGCAGUAACUGACGCUGAGGAGCGAAAGCGUGGGGAGCGAACAGG